UACAGAGACUGCAAGCGUUAUUCGGAUUCACUGGGCGUAAAGGGUGCGCAGGCGGCCAAGAGUGUGAGGCGUGAAAGCCCGGGGCUUAACCCCGGAAUUGCACCUCAAACUACAUGGCUAGAGCAUUGGAGAGGGUAGCAGAAUUCCAGGUGUAGCGGUGAAAUGCGUAGAUAUCUGGAGGAACACCGGUGGCGAAGGCGGCAUCCUGGACCGGUAUUGACACUGAGGCGCGAAAGCCAGGGGAGCAAACGGG
rnacentral:rRNA from 1 species